rnacentral:rRNA from 1 species
AGAGUUUGAUCCUGGCUCAGGAUGAACGCUAGCGGCAGGCCUAAUACAUGCAAGUCGAGGGGCAGCGGGAGUAGCAAUACUUGCCGGCGACCGGCGCACGGGUGCGUAACACGUAUGCAAUCUACCCUUUACUGAGGGAUAGCCCGGAGAAAUCCGGAUUAAUACCUCAUAAAACAUAGAGUCGGCAUCGACUUUAUUUUAAAGAUUUAUCGGUAAAGGAAGAGCAUGCGACUGAUUAGCUAGUUGGUAGUGUAAUGGACUACCAAGGCCACGAUCAGUAGGGGACCUGAGAGGGUGAUCCCCCACACUGGUACUGAGAUACGGACCAGACUCCUACGGGAGGCAGCAGUAGGGAAUAUUGGGCAAUGGACGAGAGUCUGACCCAGCCAUGCCGCGUGCAGGAAGAAGGCCUUCUGGGUUGUAAACUGCUUUUGAUCGGGAACAAAACCCCUAUGCGUAGGGAAUUGAGGGUACCGAUAGAAUAAGCACCGGCUAACUCCGUGCCAGCAGCCGCGGUAAUACGGAGGGUGCAAGCGUUGUCCGGAUUUAUUGGGUUUAAAGGGUGCGUAGGCGGCUAUUUAAGUCAGUGGUGAAAUCCUGCAGCUCAACUGUAGAAUUGCCAUUGAUACUGGAUAGCUUGAGUACAGACGAGGUACGCGGAAUUUAUGGUGUAGCGGUGAAAUGCAUAGAUACCAUAAAGAACCCCUAUUGCGAAGGCAGCUUACUAGGCUGUAACUGACGCUGAGGCACGAAAGCGUGGGAUCAAACAGGAUUAGAUACUCUUGCUAGUCCACGCCGUAAACGAUGAUUACUCGAUGUUCGCGAUAUACAGUGAGCGUCCAGCGAAAGCGUUAAGUAAUCCACCCUGGAGUACGAUCGCAGAUUGAAACUCAAGGAAUUGACGGGUCC